rnacentral:lncRNA from 1 species
GUGACCUCUGUUGGCCCUGGCUCCUCUGUCAGCCAAGCUAGGGACGCAGGGUCAAGAGUAGUGAAGGUUUUUGAUUCUUCCUUUAAGGAAAUGAAGAAGGGGAGAUAGAUAUUAAUUAGUUCAGGAGAGGCAUACAAACCCCCAGUUUCCUGGGGUUUUACUUUUGCUUGGUUUUUGAGACAGGGUCUUGUAUAGGCUACAUUCAAACUCUAGCUUAGGCUGGCCAUGAACUGAGCCUCUUGCCUAUACUUGACAAGCACUGGGGCUAUAGGCACCCACACCAUCACUCUGCUCGCCCAUCCUAGGACCAGCAUUCUCACUCACCUCUUCGUUUCCUGGGGAUGAGAUAUAGGUGCCCCCAAUUUCAUCUGAGGACAGGACCUCCUGCAGAUCCUCAUACCAGGCUUCCAGCUCCCAGCUGGACACCGUCUCCAAGGUGAAAGGCAGGGACUCAGCUGCCAUGACUGCACGUGGACCAGGUUCUGGAAAGGACAUACAUUCCAUUCACCACAGUCGGUGAGCUGACCUUGUCCCUUUUCUAACACGUAGAAUUUAAAAUUUACUGGUCUUGCACGAUAGGUAAGGGCAUGGGUUGUCACUCCUUGAAGGCUACAUUGGCAGAGGGUGGAGGUGAAGAGUCAACUCGCACAAGUUGUUCUCUGACCUGCACACACACUAAUGAUGGUGUGUCGGGAUGGGGAGAUGGCUGCCUCUCAAGCCUAGCAGCCUUGACUUUGACCCUGCCAGAUCCAACUCUCAAAAGUUGUCCAGAUGAUCACAUGCACACCAUGGCCAGGACCCUGAAACGGAUGUAAUUCAGUGUCUGGGGGCCAGCAGCAUUCAUUGGCUCUCCUGGAGCUGGAGGUCCAGGCCAUGUGAGCCACCUUCUGUGGCUGCUGGAAACCUGACUCAGGUACGGCACACAGGCAGCAUGGGUGUGGAACUGAUAGGCUUUCUCCGGGCUCUCAUUGCCAUUCUUUUUGGUGUUUGUUCAAGACAGGGUCUCUCUGUGUAGCCCUGCCUGUCCUAGAACUCACACUGGCCUCAGAGAUCAACCUGCCUCAGCCUCCUGAAGGCUGGGAUUAAAAGUAUGCACCACCCCCACACAGCUUUCCAACUUUUUGUUUUGUUUUCAUUUAUAUGCUGGUCACUACCAAGCUUAAUCCAGGCUGGCUACCUAACCUUAAAUAUCUUUUUUUUUUUCCCAAAGAUAUAUUUAUUUUAUUAUCUAUGCAUAUAUAAGUGAGUGCCUGAAUGUGUGCUGUGUGUGUGUUCCUGGUAGACAUGGAGGCCACAAGAGGGAAUGGAUUCCCUGGGAACUAGAGUCAUAGAUGGUUUUGAACUGCCAUUUGGGUACUGGGAGUUAGACUAGAUCCUCUACAAGAAGAGCACGUGCUCUUAACCACUGAGUCAUCUCUCUAGCUCCUGGAAACAAAACUUGGAGGGUGGGGGGUGUAUUUUCAAGAAAGGGUUUCUCUGUAUAUAUAGUUCUGGCUUCCCUGGAACUCACUCUGCAAAAUAGGCUGGCUUUGACUCAGACAUUUACCUUCCUCUGCCUCCCAAGUGCUGGGACUAAAGGUAUGCACCACUACACCUGAUAGAACAUACCCUUUAUUGAGAAGGAUUUACUACAGAUAACUUCAGGAUCCUCUCAAGUUCUGAGAGAGGAACAGUCACUGGGCUUGGCUAUACAUAUAUAUUCUUACAGGAUUACAGUAAAAGUAUUCAACUCUCUUGGGAACACUACUGGUAAUUUCCAGGGGCAAUUACCAGGCCAUUUGUACUCUUUUUUUCUCUCGUGUGGGAAGCUUGGGCAAAAGGUCCUUUGGGUCUAAUCUUGGUGUGGACUGAGAGUUGGGAAGACAAACCAAUUGCCAUUGUUGAGGCUGACUUCGAAAGCCAGCUCUCAAACAACAUUAUGGGGUCAGAGAAAGACAUGGUCUGACAGCAAAAGCUUGUUCAGAUGAAGGCCUUGUCUAACUCUCCCCCAGCAAAGCAACAUGAGCAGCAUUCGCAGCUGACUGAGAGGGUGGCCAAGAUUACCUGCUUUCAGGUGUGGUGGUGUAUGAAGAUGCACUUCCUUCUGGAACACUGUGGAGAAAAGGAAAAAACAGUCCUUUACCUCCAGCCUCCUCCUAGCCCUUCUCUAGAUCCUUUCUAACUCCUCCUAGCCCCUCUCUAGAUCCUUUCUAACUCCUCCUAGCCCCUCUCUAGAUCCUUUCUAACUCCUCCUAGCCCUUUUCUAGAUCCUUUCUAAAAUGGGUUGUGAGAUGGUUUCUUUGUGCAUCCCUGGGCAUCCUGGAAUUCUGGAACUCAACAACUCUGCAGACCAGGCUCCAGUUCUUCUCUUGUAAUACACACACACACAUACAGAGGUGUGUGUGUCUUGCAGCGGGUGUGUCCCUGAAGCCAUUUCUUCUCUUGUAAUACACACACACACACAGGCGUGUGUCUUGCAGCGUGUGUGUCCCUGAAGCCAACUCCAAGGACAGAGGCAGGCUUAACUUUAUUUUUAGUUGCUGACAUUUGCCGUCUUGAUUACAUAAUAGCAAAGUCCUGGCCAACUAAGUUUUCUCUAAAUCCCAGAUAGACCUCAAGUCCGCCAAAGGGAGACAGAACUAGAGGGAAGGAAGAGUAAACUCAGCAGUGCUUGCUCAGAUUCCAUCCCCCCACUGGCAGCCUCAGUGCAGACCUGCUCUGGGAUCUCCAGCUCCUUGGCAGUGUUGAGCAGGCGUUCAGCUUACAUGAAAGGCCUUUCCUACCAAGGCUGUAUAGUUCUUACUAAAUGGCAACUCUAGGUGCUGAAAGCCAAAAACUUUGGUAUCCUUGAUGCCCCUUUCUCAGAUACCACAGCUCAGCCUAAAGCACUGACAACUUUAAAAGUACCCCAAACCUAAGUAUUUCUCAUUACUACAUUAUUUCCAGAUGCAAUUUUUUAUUUUUCAUUUAUUUAUUUUUUUGGUUUUUCUUGACAGGGUUUCUCUGUGUAGCCUUGGCUGUCCUGGAACUCACUGUGGACAAGGCUGGCCUCGAAUUCAGAAAUCCGCCUGUCUCUGUCUCCCAAAUGCUGGGAUUAAAGGCGUGCACCACCACUGCCUGGCUCCAGAUAUAAAUUUACCAUACAUUUCUUUCCCUGGAUUAUUUUGGAAGCCUCUUUGAAAUCUCUCCUUUCUUUCUUCCUUUCCUUUCCUUUCUUUCUCUUUUAGACAGGGUCUCACUAUGUAGCUUUUGCUGUCCUGGAACUUGCUUUGUAGACUCUCUGGCUUUGAAUUUAGAUCUGCCUGCCUUUCAAGUGCUGGGAUUAAAGGCUGUGCC